rnacentral:rRNA from 1 species
ACCCUUUAAUGUUUGAUGUUCUAACGUGGACCCGUGAUCCGGGUUGCGGACAGUGUCUGGUGGGUAGUUUGACUGGGGCGGUCUCCUCCUAAAGAGUAACGGAGGAGCACGAAGGUUGGCUAAUCCUGGUCGGACAUCAGGAGGUUAGUGCAAUGGCAUAAGCCAGCUUGACUGCGAGCGUGACGGCGCGAGCAGGUGCGAAAGCAGGUCAUAGUGAUCCGGUGGUUCUGAAUGGAAGGGCCAUCGCUCAACGGAUAAAAGGUACUCCGGGGAUAACAGGCUGAUACCGCCCAAGAGUUCAUAUCGACGGCGGUGUUUGGCACCUCGAUGUCGGCUCAUCACAUCCUGGGGCUGAAGUAGGUCCCAAGGGUAUGGCUGUUCGCCAUUUAAAGUGGUACGCGAGCUGGGUUUAGAACGUCGUGAGACAGUUCGGUCCCUAUCUGCCGUGGGCGCUGGAGAACUGAGGGGGGCUGCUCCUAGUACGAGAGGACCGGAGUGGACGCAUCACUGGUGUUCGGGUUGUCAUGCCAAUGGCACUGCCCGGUAGCUAAAUGCGGAAGAGAUAAGUGCUGAAAGCAUCUAAGCACGAAACUUGCCCCGAGAUGAGUUCUCCCUGAGACUUAAAGUCUCCUGAAGGAACGUUGAAGACG